rnacentral:snoRNA from 1 species
CCCCUCUCAAGGUAGCAGCUGGAGAGUUGCCAGUCCUCUGCCAGUCUCGACUACAGGAGGAAGAGUCAAGCAGAGGCCUAUCCAUUCCAUUCCUAGCUUGGCAGUGGCUAGCGAGUGGAAGACAAUCUGCUACAAGU